AACAGAGUAUUAGCUAACUAGUAUCAAGUAAUAAGGGAGUAUGGAGAACAGAGUAUUAGCUAACCAGUAUGGAAUAAUAAGGGAGUAUGGAGAACAGAGUAUUAGCUAACUCAUAUCGAGUAAUAAGGGAGUAUGGAGAGCAGAGUAUUAGCUAACCAGUAUGGAGUAAUAAGGGAGUAUGGAGACCAGCGUAUUAGUUAACCAGUAUCCAACAAUAAGGGAGUAUGGAGAGCAGAGUAUUAGCGAACCAGUAUCGAGAAAUAAGGGAGUACGGAGAGCAGAGUAUUAGCUAACCAGUAUCGAGUAAUAAGGGAGAAUGGAGAGCAGAGUAUUAGCUUAC